UACACACCGCCCGUCACACCAUGGGAGUGGGUUUUGCCAGAAGUAGGUAGCCUAACCGCAAGGAGGGCGCUUACCACGGCAGGACUCAUGACUGGGGUG
rnacentral:rRNA from 1 species